CAAGACGUAGCUUUAACCAAAGCAUUCAGCUUACACCUGAAAGAUAUCUGCUCAACCCAGAUCGUCUUGA
ensembl:Mt_tRNA